GACUUAUCUUUCCGAGGCAGAAAAAGUUCACAAUGACGCCAAAUAUAGCAGAUACAAAUAAUAUAUCUCUUUAGUGGGCAAGGCUAGAGCAGCAGGACAGAUGAAACAAUAAAACGAAACCUCAUCUUUCAUUAUUAUGUACUCCUCCACAAAGAAGUGUAUCUGAGACUGGAAGCACUGGCUCUCCACAGGAAGCUAAAGGCCUCAAGGAGCUUACCUUGAAAACAGUCACAAAGAUAUUUCAUUCUUCUGCUCACCAUUACAGACUGAUAGGGAUUGGACUGGGUGUAAGAGUGACUGACUUGAAAGCAACAGAUGAAGCAAUCGAUAAUCUUAUUAAAGUAUUUGAGAGGUGGUUUGAUGCCAAUAAAGAUGUCAGUUGGGAUACUUUAAAAGAACUUUGUGAAGAGGACUAUCCUGAUGAACUGGGUCAAGCAAAGGCUAAGCUAACUAAAGUACUCGGCCGUCAGUAGCAGCUGCUUAUUUUUUAAUAAUUAUCAUAAUAAUGUUUUUAAAUUCUUUUUCAAUUCCUUUGUACAUUACAUUAAAACAUAAUCCCACACAUUAAUUCAAUUAAGAAGUGCGGGGGCGUGUUCUUGUACACAGAAA